UUCCAGACUCCUACGGGAGGCAGCAGUGGGGGAUAUUGCACAAUGGGGGGAACCCUGAUGCAGCGACGCCGCGUGGGUGAAGAAGUAUUUCGGUAUGUAAAGCCCUAUCGGCAGGGAAGAAAUUGGACGGUACCUGACUAAGAAGCCCCGGCUAACUACGUGCCAGCAGCCGCGGUAAUACGUAGGGGGCAAGCGUUAUCCGGAUUCACUGGGUGUAAAGGGAGCGUAGACGGCCAUGCAAGCCUGGAGUGAAAGCCCGGGGCCCAACCCCGGGACUGCUCUGGGAACUGUGCGGCUGGAGUGCGGGAGGGGCAGGCGGAAUUCCUGGUGUAGCGGUGAAAUGCGUAGAUAUCAGGAGGAACACCGGCGGCGAAGGCGGCCUGCUGGACCGCGACUGACGUUGAGGCUCGAAAGCGUGGGGAGCAAACAGGAUUAGAUACCCCCGUAA
rnacentral:rRNA from 1 species